rnacentral:rRNA from 1 species
AUUGAACGCUGGCGGCAGGCCUAACACAUGCAAGUCGAGCGGAUGAAGGGAGCUUGCUCCUGGAUUCAGCGGCGGACGGGUGAGUAAUGCAUAGGAAGCUGACUGGCAGUGGGGGAUAACGUCCGGAAACGGGCGCUAAUACCGCAUACGUCCUGAGUGAGAACGUGGGGGAUCUUCGGACCUAGCGCUAUCUGAUGAGCCUAGGUGGGUUUAGCUAGUUGGUGGGGUAAAGGCCUAACAAGGCGACGUUCCGUAACUGGUCUGAGAGGAUGACCAGACACACUGGAACUGAAAAAGGGUCCGACCCCCUAGGGGAGGCGGAGGUGGGGAAUUUUGGCAAUGGGCGAAAGCCUGAUCCAGCAAUGCCGCGUGUGUGAAGAAGGUCUUCGGAUUGUAAAGCUCUGUAAGUUGGGAGGAAGGGCAGUAAGUUAAUACCUUGCUGUUUUGACGUUACCAACAGAGUAAGCACCGGCUAACUUCGUG